rnacentral:rRNA from 1 species
AUGGCGGCCACCGCGGAUCCGAGGGCGAAGACGCCGGCCACGCAGCCGCACCGCCUGAAGCCGUGGGCGCCACCACCACCGCCUCGGGGCCACUGCGUGCCUUCCCUGUCAUCUGUCUCCGGGGGGUCUGGAGCCAUCUGCGAUCGGCGCCGCUCCUCGACGUCCCACCGACGCGGUGGUGCCGACGCCGUAGACGAGGGACCUUACGACGGCGGGCUGGAGGAUCUCCGGGCUAAGCUCAUGGGCCACGUCCAUGAAGCCGCCGACCGCCUUCGGCUGCCCCCGGCGACGCCCCAGCGGUCGCCGGAGACCAAGCCUCCGGCAGCGCCGCUUCCUCCGCCACCGCAGGACGCCGCCGCGGUUGUGGCCGCCAGCAUGCCGUGGACGCUGAGGGAGCGAAAGCGUCGUCCAUCAGCCCGCGGCAGCACGGGCGCCGCAUCGUCCGGGACGCCGUGGUCGACGACCCCGGCGGCCACGGCGCGGCACGACGGCAUGCGCGGUCCGUUCGCUGUGGCGCUGGAUGCGGAGGAGAUCGAGGAGGACGUGUACGCCCUCACCGGCGCCCGGCCGCGGCGGCGGCCCCGGAAGCGGGCGCGGGUCGUGCAGCGGCAGCUCGAUUCGCUGUUCCCGGGGCUAUGGCUGACCGAGAUCACCGCCGACGCCUACCGGGUCCCCGAUGACCAGUAA